rnacentral:rRNA from 1 species
GAGGAAGAAAGCAGGGGACCUUUGGGCCUUGCGCUGUUUGAGCGGCCGAUAUCUGAUUAGCUAGUUGGUGGGGUAAAGGCCUACCAAGGCGACGAUCAGUAGCGGGUCUGAGAGGAUGAUCCGCCACACUGGGACUGAGACACGGCCCAGACUCCUACGGGAGGCAGCAGUGGGGAAUUUUGGACAAUGGGCGCAAGCCUGAUCCAGCCAUGCCGCGUGUCUGAAGAAGGCCUUCGGGUUGUAAAGGACUUUUGUCAGGGAAGAAAAGGGCGGGGUUAAUACCCCUGUCUGAUGACGGUACCUGAAGAAUAAGCACCGGCUAACUACGUGCCAGC